rnacentral:rRNA from 1 species
UACGGGGGGAGCAAGCGUUGUUCGGAUUUACUGGGCGUAAAGGGCGCGUAGGCGGCCACCGCAAGUCGACUGUGAAGUCUCCGGGCUUAACCCGGAAAGGUCAGCCGAUACUGCGGGGCUAGAGUGCAGAAGGGGCAACUGGAAUUCUUGGUGUAGCGGUGAAAUGCGUAGAUAUCAAGAGGAACACCUGCGGCGAAGGCGGGUUGCUGGGCCGACACUGACGCUGAUGCGCGAAAGCUAGGGGAGCGAACGGG